AUUGAACGCUGGCGGCAGGCCUAACACAUGCAAGUCGAACGGUAACAGGAAGCAGCUUGCUGCUUUGCUGACGAGUGGCGGACGGGUGAGUCAUGUCUGUGAAACUGCCCGAUGGAGGGGGAUAACUACUGGAAACGGUAGCUAAUACCGCAUAACGUCGCAAGACCAAAGAGGGGGACCUUAGGGCCUCUUGCCAUCGGAUGUGCCCAGAUGGGAUUAGCUAGUAGGUGGGGUAACGGCUCACCUAGGCGACGAUCCCUAGCGGGUCUGAGAGGAUGACCAGCCACACUGGAACUGAGACACGGUCCAGACUCCUACGGGAGGCAGCAGUGGGGAAUAUUGCACAAUGGGCGCAAGCCUGAUGCAGCCAUGCCGCGUGUAUGAAGAAGGCCUUCGGGUUGUAAAGUACUUUCAGCGGGGAGGAAGGGAGUAAAGUUAAUACCUUUGCUCAUUGACGUUACCCGCAGAAGAAGCACCGGCUAACUCCGUG
rnacentral:rRNA from 1 species